rnacentral:lncRNA from 1 species
CUUAAUAGAACUGAAGCAGCUCAAGAGAGAAUGAAAAUGUGUUGAACCAUCCCUUCCACCACCCACUUGCAAGCAGUGCUUUAUUUUAGAGGCUGGCUGCUGUCCCACUGCUGUGUCACAGCCUGACCCCAUCGGCGGCUGGAGGGAGCCUGGGAUUUGCUGGUAGCCCCAGGGAAGUCACCACCACAGCCAGCAAUUGUU